rnacentral:rRNA from 1 species
GAAUAUUGGACAAUGGGCGCAAGCCUGAUCCAGCCAUGCCGCGUGUGUGAAGAAGGCCUUCGGGUUGUAAAGCACUUUUGUACGGGAAGAAAAGCUUCGGGUUAAUACCCUGGAGUUCUGACGGUACCGUAAGAAUAAGCACCGGCUAACUUCGUGCCAGCAGCCGCGGUAAUACGAAGGGUGCAAGCGUUACUCGGAAUUACUGGGCGUAAAGCGUGCGUAGGUGGUUCGUUAAGUCUGAUGUGAAAGCCCUGGGCUCAACCUGGGAAUUGCAUUGGAUACUGGCGGGCUGGAGUGCGGUAGAGGAUGGCGGAAUUCCCGGUGUAGCAGUGAAAUGCGUAGAGAUCGGGAGGAACAUCCGUGGCGAAGGCGGCCAUCUGGACCAGCACUGACACUGAGGCACGAAAGCGUGGGGAGCAAACAG